rnacentral:tRNA from 1 species
AUUUAUAUAGUAUAAAAUUAUAUUUGACUUCCAAUCAAAAGAUCUGAUCACUCAUCAGUAUAAAUA